rnacentral:sRNA from 1 species
ACCACGGUGGAUCUCCUCUGCAGCCAGC